GUCCGCGUGGCCUAAUGGAUAAGGCGUCUGGCUUCGAAUCAGAAGAUUGCAGGUUCGAAUCCUGUCUCGGACG
rnacentral:tRNA from 1 species